UUCUUCUGUUCAGUCUGAACAAUUAAUUUGAAACAAUUAAAAAUUGUGAAAUAUGAUAAAAACGUGAACUAAUUAAUUUCUUUGGAAGUGAAAAGUGCUGUUGAAGCAAAUGUGUGAACGGAGAACGGCUCUUCACCUUGUACUGUAAGGAGAGAUGUAUCUAAUUUUCUUCAAGCGUCUUUUUAAGAUGAGAUGGGAUGAUUCGCAAAAAAAUCAUUGGACCAAUACCCUGACGUAAAACUUACAUGGCACUCAUCUUCGUCCCAUCGAAACCUGCAGUUAUUCCGGCCGUUGCAUUGCAGUUCUGCUGAUAUACACGUUGCAUCCUCGCAAUCGUACUCGUCCUCCUCGCAUGCUGCCAAAAAACAUCGAACAUUUUUACGGAUUCCAAUAAAGGAGCAAACAAUGAAACAUCACCCUUAUCCCUAAACGCCGUAUACAGAAUGGUGAAGGACGAAUUAUAGGCAACAUACUCGGCAUAGUAUCGCACAUGCAGAACAUUCGUUAAAGAAUUUAUGGAGUCUGCAGCGGAGCCACAAAAAUUCCUCAACCUGGACGAAACAUGAAAGAAAUAAAGAGAACAAGCAAAAUUAAAAUUUGUGUCGUAAUUUUGGAUUGAGAUAAAAUAUUUUGUGAUUGCUUUAAGGGCUAACACUUUACCAAGUACGAGUACUUCAACCCCACUUACUUGGAGUGCUCGUCCGUUUUAUCGGGAAAUAUGUCUACGAAAUUUACAUCACAUUCAU